CGCGACCCCAGGUCAGGCGGGAUUACCGCUAA
rnacentral:rRNA from 1 species